AUUGAACGCUGGCGGAAUGCUUUACACAUGCAAGUCGAGCGAGUGAGUUCUUCGGAACGAUCUAGCGGCGGACGGGUGAGUAACACGUGGGCAACCUGCCUCAUAGAGGGGAAUAGCCUCCCGAAAGGGAGAUUAAUACCGCAUAAAAUUAUCGAGUGGCAUCACAUGAUAAUCAAAGGAGUAAUCCGCUAUGAGGUGGGCCCGCGGCGCAUUAGCUAAUUGGUGAGGUAACGGCUCACCAAGGCGACGAUGCGUAGCCGGCCUGAGAGGGUGAUCGGCCACAUUGGGACUGAGACACGGCCCAGACUCCUACGGGAGGCAGCAGUGGGGAAUAUUGCACAAUGGGGGAAACCCUGAUGCAGCAACGCCGCGUGAGUGAUGAAGGUCUUCGGAUUGUAAAGCUCUGUCUUUGGGGACGAUAAUGACGGUACCCAAGGAGGAAGCCACGGCUAACUACGUGCCAGCCGCCGCCGUAA
rnacentral:rRNA from 1 species